UGGGGAAUAUUGCACAAUGGGCGCAAGCCUGAUGCAGCCAUGCCGCGUGUGUGAAGAAGGCCUUCGGGUUGUAAAGCACUUUCAGCGGGGAGGAAGGCGUUAAGGUUAAUAACCUUGGCGAUUGACGUUACCCGCAGAAGAAGCACCGGCUAACUCCGUGCCAGCAGCCGCGGUAAUACGGAGGGUGCAAGCGUUAAUCGGAAUUACUGGGCGUAAAGCGCACGCAGGCGGUCUGUCAAGUCGGAAGUGAAAUCCCCGGGCUCAACCUGGGAACUGCAUUCGAAACUGGCAGGCUAGAGUCUUGUAGAGGGGGGUAGAAUUCCAGGUGUAGCGGUGAAAUGCGUAGAGAUCUGGAGGAAUACCGGUGGCGAAGGCGGCCCCCUGGACAAAGACUGACGCUCAGGUGCGAAAGCGUGGGGAGCAAACAGG
rnacentral:rRNA from 1 species